CAAUGUUAUGUAUUAAUAUUAUUCACUUCAUCUUUAAAAAGCUACCUCAUUUCAUCAUAGACUCACCCAGCUACUCAGUAACAGAAUUUAUAAUUCCCUCUCCCACGCCUGCGAGUUUUUUUAAUUUUUUCAUAAAAGAGGAAGUAGAGAUUCAGAAGUUAACUUGUCAAAGUUCACACCUUCAAAAAUGACUGUCAAGUUUCAACUCAGAGCUACUUGGUUCCAAAAUAGGAAGCAAAGACCAACAAUGAUAAAAGAAGGUUUCUAAACCUUCAGUGACAUUAAGAAACCAAGCUCUUCUGGAUGAAAAUGAGAGAAGUCGUCUAUGUGGUGAAAAGUAUUUACAUCAAGUACAUCAUGAGAAAUGCUGGGCUGGAAGAAGCACAAGCUGGAAUCAAGAUUGCCA
ensembl:lncRNA